GAUGAACGCUGGCGGCGUGCCUAACACAUGCAAGUCGAGCGGACAGAUGAUGAGUUCUCUCCCCUGCCGUUAGCGGCGGGCGGGUGAGUAACACGUAGAUCACCUACCUAUAAUUCUGGGAUAAUUACGGGAGACCGGAUACAAUACCGGAGCAUAUGUCGAACGGGAGGGUUCAUUGGAGCUACAGGGCUUUGCUGUCUCUACGAGCUGGUUCCGCGUUGGAUUAGUUAGUGGGUAGGGUCACGGCUUACCAAGGCUACGAUGCGUAGCUGAGCUGAGAGGAUGAUCAGCCACACUGGAACUGAGACACGGUCCAGACUCCUACGGGAGGCAGCAGUGGGGAAUAUUGGACAAUGGGCGAAAGCUUGACCCAGCCACGCCGCGUGAGUGAAGAAGGUCUUCGGAUCGUAAAGCUCUUUUAUUAGGGAAGAACAGCUGUAGAUUAAUACCUGCCUGUCUUGACGGUACCUAAACAAAAAGCACCGGCUAACUACGUG
rnacentral:rRNA from 1 species